ensembl:lncRNA
GCUUAUGGAUGUAUUUUAAUAAAAAUAAUUCUGUCAAAAUUAAACAGAAAACAUAUUUCUUUUUUUAACAUAGUUCCAGUACAUAGUUUUUUUUGUAAUUAUCAUUUUUCCUUUUUUUUUAUAUUGUUUUAAAGGUUUUACAAGUCAUGCUAAGUAGAGGGUAACUCAUUUCACAUUUUUAAAACAUUUUUAUUUUUUUCCUAAAACUCAAAAGUCAAAAUCUGAAACCAAAAUCAUGAUAGAAGUCAACUGUGCACAGCUUGUCUGCGGCGCCUAAAUCAGUUUUUCCGGCCUCUCGGGAAGCUUCAGAGGCCUCGGGCUCGUUCUUACAACUGCUCACGUCUCCUUUCCUUCUAACGGUCACUGAGCAUGUCAGUGGCUGGAUAAUGGGGAUAAUGGGGGAAUGCUGUGUGGUAACAGCGCUGAGAUGCAGCCCAAGUCCAAAAACAACAGGACAGCAGCGAGAUUUUUUUUUCCCCCCUACAGGUGUGUAACAGAGGUUUCUCUUUCAAUAGUGUGUAACAGAAGUCCUGUACAGCUGCAGAGGCAGAUGCUGUGGGUGUGUCUGUAUGUGUAGUUAUUAGAAUAAAUCCUACAUUAGCAGAAGGUGUUUAGAAAAACAAAAACAAAACACCAGCUAAAAAGGUUUGACCACAUAACCUAGACGGAAAAUCUCUUAUGAAUAGAAAUACACACUUCAGGGUGGAUCAGCACGCCGCUCGCCAGGUCACGACAAAGCAGACAGAGAGACAACAUUUCAUCAGUCAUACGAUAUUCAUCCACUUUGUAGAAAAGAAAUCAUUUCAUAUGUUUACAGAGGAAAACAUGUUUAUCAUUAAAACCAAAUAAUGACACAUGUGACUGGGGUGGUAGUUAAACUUAAUGCUUCCAACACACGGGACUAAAGUCUUCUCUUUUGAAACACAAAACUAAAAAUGAAGUGAAUAAUGCUGCAGCGUGAGCCAACUUUACAGAGCUAACAUUGUGAAAGUAAUUAACGGGUUAGUUACUCAAUUAAUGUUUUAUUCUAUUGUGACUGGCUGCCAUCUUUGUUGCGUGGAAACAGUAUCAACCUGAGAAAGUUGAGUUCAUGAAAACAAAAAGCUUUGAAUCCACAUGUUUAAAAGUUCCUGUGAAAUCCCUUCAAGAUUUCCAUUUUAGCUUUUCCAAAUACUAAAGAAAGAAAAAAAUAUCAGCGUUACCUCCAAAUAUAUUCUAACUCAAGUGUGGCUCCUGUAAAAUAAAAAUGAAGUCAAAAAAAAGAGCCAUUAAAGCAUAGACGACUGAACUUCACCCAGGCCCGCUAACACGUUAGCUCAUGUGUGUUACAGAAAGGAACACAGUGGCUUUUUGGUCUUUUUUUUGCAAACAUUUAAGAAACAUUUUUAGAAAUAACGUUUUGUACUAUUCGGCUAUGUGAGCUUAAAAGCAGCUGAGCCAGCUGGCCGUGUAGCCAGGUAGCAUGUGGUCUUGCUAAAACAAAGGCUAGUUACUGUACAGUGUGUUUCUGAGGAGCAGCAAAAUGAUUGGCUGAUUCAAAAGAAUCAACCUCGUCAGCCACCAGUUAGUGAAUUAGUUUGUUUUAGCUGCGCAGUUUCAAACAAAGUCCUUAGCAGACAAAAUAAAGACGGGUGAGGUACAGCUAGUUAGUGCUUUAGCUAGUUUUUUACUAGCCAAAACUUACUUGAUGAUAUUGGUGAAGCCUAACAGGCCUUUUUCGUCCAAGCAGAUAUUUUAAGUUGUCAUGAGAAAAGUUACUUUUGAACCAAGUUUUAAUGAUGGCUCAAUUUUAUUAUACACAAAAAUGGAGCCUUGUCUGAAUGGUUUAAUUUGUUUUCUUACAAAUUACAUCUGUGUUUAUCUCACAAUAACCCAGAGUCUCUGCUGUGGAAAAAGGUCUGAGGCUGCAGAAGCUGUCAUGAAAACUGUGAACUGACCGUGUAAAACUGAGUAAUUUAAAGUCGUAAUAUCUUAUUAAUUAAUUUUAAUAUCAAGCCAAGUGAGACGUGUCUGGAAGCGGUAUUUGGUACUUCUGUUUGUACUGAUCUGACUCAGUACAAACAUUUUGGUCUCAAACACCCAGAGAUUUGUUGAUGUCAUGCACUGUAUGACAUCUACCACUGUCUGCCUCAGAUCGUGGCUUGUUGCCCUACGAAACUUCUUAUCCUUAUGUUCUAUUUCAAUCUGCAGUGUUUGUACUACUGCACUAAUAUUGACUGCAUCUACCUGUCACACACAUCCUGGUUGUUAUUCUUUAAGCGUGUGUUAAAGUGGUGCUCUCGUCUCUGUCGACGGGUAAAGCAUUAAAGGAGCGACAGCUAACACAGGAAUCCUGCCUCUGCAGGAAGCUGUUGCAUAGACACGCCUUGAAUCUGUUUUGGCUGAUAUUAUGUGUAGUAUGUGGACUGCAUGUAGAUAGUAAUUGAGAGACAGUCAACUAAGAAUACUCCGACAAACAAAGCAACCUUAUAAUGCAGCUUUAAGUAUGAGGGAAAUGUUGUAAAAACAGGACUGUUGGCAGGUUUAACCUGACACCAAAACAGGAAGUAGCGGACCUGAGCACUGUCUUUACUUGUACAUAAAUCUCAUUGUGGCCAGCAGCUAGCCUCAAGGGUAAAAUGACUGUUUUACCAUCAUGUUACUGUACAUAUUGAAAAGAACUCUGUGACUGUUUUACAAACCUAAAGGGCUCUGUGUAAGGCAAAAAGAGAGAAACUUUCCCAACAACCAGAACUGGUUUUCACAAUCUUUAAAAUCAAAACGAAAGAUUACACAGUGCUCCCUAAAAAACUACACAUAUGUGUUCGGAAAAUGGUUUUCCUUUUUUUCUGAAACAGUGUUUGCAACAGCACAUGCACACAGAAGGUCAGGUUGUGGAGGAUGGCGAAGAAAAAAAAAAGGGCAGCAGUAAUUAAAUCUCAGGGGGAGUGCCCUGAAUACACACACACACACACACACACACACACACACACACACACACACACACACACACACACACACACACACACACACAGCGCUUGUUAGGCUGAGUUUGAUACUGAUUUCCUCAAUACUGGCAUCAAGGUGGCCAUUAAAAUAGUGUAAGACUUGGUCCUGAAGGUGGAUGUUGUCGGUGCAGCUCUUGCCGAGCUCUGCCACCUACAACCACAUCGCUGAUUGGUCGACGUUGUGGUUGUUACGGUAAAAUCAAGGCUCCAACACCUCUAAUAUUCCACUGUAGUCUCUUGUCAUCACCCUCUCUCCCGGCAGCGUUCGCAGCUACAGAGGACCUUCAAUUAUGUUUUUUUUCCUUUUACAUGGGUAAAGUUUUAAGGAAGUCUCCUAUUCUUUGGGUAAUAAAUUGUUAGCUCACAAAGAUAUAUUAGAGCAUGACUUGGAAGCUUUGUCCAGUAAAUUUUUAUUUUCUAUCUGGAAUAAUUUGGGGGCAAUGAGGCAUUUUUCCUGGCGAGGUUGAACCCUUCUGUAUUUCAAGAUACAAAGUGCAUAUUUUUUUCCUCCGUGUCUAAUUGGAAAAAAAAAAAAAAAGGCCUACAGGCGUCAGGAUGACUGUGGAAACCAGCUUUUGGGUAUUGUGGUCUGUGAUAUGGUGAACAAGAACAACAAUACUGACAGCAGGGAGAAGAAAUCCACCCGUUAAAACAGAAGGGAAGAAUCAGAAGGAGGUUUACAAUUUCUUUGUUCCAGGAUGAGCACAACAAACUGACACAAAAGAACUAAAAAACAAAAGAAAAAAAAAGGCUAGAUGAACAGAAUAAUAAUUAUCUUUAAAUAGUGUCACACAUUUAUUUAUUUUAUAAUACUAAAUUAAAAGGAACCUUUCUUUUCUCUCUUUCUCUCCUCUGCCCCUCUUGCCUGUGCUGCUGGCUCGGUCUGAUGGACAGCCAAAUGCACCAACGCUCCUUCCUCCGUUGCCAUGACAACUACCUGCUGGACAUGUCUUCUCUCAGUGCUACUUAACAAUAAUCUGUGGGAGAGAUGUGGGGUAAUGAAAUGAAUGUAGCAUGAUUGAUAGAAAUACAGCAGGAGAGCAUUUUAUCCUUUUUUUUUUUCCCCAUUUGAGGCAUGUGUGCACAUUAGCUGUAAUUACAGCCAAUAACAGAUGGAGAUGAAGGUCGUCCUCCAUCCAUACCUUCAAGACACAAACAUGCCAGUCACCAUGUAAACCUUACUAUGAGUCAUAUUCAGUGCCCCG